CUACGGGACGCAGCAGGUAAGAAUCUUCUACAAUGCACGAAAGUGUGAUAGAGUGAGCCAGAGUGCUUUUCAAUGAAAAGCUUUUGCUGAGUUUAAAACGCUCGGCGAAUAAGGACUGGGUAAGACUAGUGCCAGCCGCCGCGGUAAUACUAGCGGUCCAAGUCGCAGCCAUUUUUAUUGGGUCUAAAACAUCCGUAGCUUGCUUAAUAAGUUUCUUGUGAAAUCUCAUAUCUCAAGUAUGAGGCGUGCGGGAAAUACUGUUAAGCUAGAGACUGGGAGACGUAACGAGUACGAUCAAGGUAGCGGUUAAAUGUGUUAAUCUUGGUCGGACUAACAACAGCGAAGGCACGUUACGAGAACAGUUCUGACAGUAAGGGAUGAAGGCUAGGGGCGCAAAAGGGAUUAGAUACCCCCGUAGUC
rnacentral:rRNA from 1 species